AAACCGAAAUAGCCAGAUCUUGCUUGUGCUUGGCUUGGACGACAUUCGGGUUGAGUAAAAAAGCAUUGUAAGAGGUGAUAAAUUUGUCGUUGGCUAUUAUACCUGUUUUAAGGGUCCUUACGUUGUCUUACGGAGGGGGCGAUGAGGUCUCUUCCUUAUCUACAUCUGUUUUGACUUUUAUUUAGACAAGGGUUAGGGUUACCCCUGUUUUGUAUGGAUGUUACUAAUUUGGCCGUUUUUGGGCAAGUCAUUAGGACAACUCCCCUUAUACUGUAAAUUACUGUUGCUAUUUAUGAAUUAAUAAGUAAUUAAAUCAGGUGUAUUUUAUCUCGAAGUCAGUCCGACUGUUUAUUAAAAACAUUUCCACAAGUUAGUAAUUUGUGGUAAGACCUGCCCGGUGAGAGUUUAACGGCCGCAGUAUUUUGACUGUGCGAAGGUAGCAUAAUUAAUUGCCCCAUAAUUGGGGGCUUGUUUGAAGGGUUUUACGGGAUUGAGCUCUGAGAUUACACCCCUUUUUGAAUUUAAUAUGACGAGUACAGAAUCUGUCAUUUCUAGUUAGACGGAAAGACCCCAGGAUCUUUGGUUUUGUCUGGGGCAGAUGGUAUUUUUUUAAUAUUUUUGUGACCCUCGGUUUAAAGGUUUAAGUUACCCUGGGGAUAACAGGGUAAUAGCCCACGAGAGGCCUUAUCGAGUGGGCUGAUUGCUACCUCGAUGUUGACUUGGGCAACCCCCUCGGCGCAGUAGUUUGGGGGUUUGGUCUGUUCGACCACUGAGGCCUU
rnacentral:rRNA from 1 species